rnacentral:lncRNA from 1 species
UAGAAAUAAGCGAUUUGUAGAGAUAGCUACUUAGCCACCCUUAGAAGUCAAUGUCUAGAGAUGGUUAUUAAUCACAACUGUCUCUCUUCGAAUCGUUUCCUCGAAAUCCACCAAACAAUGAUAAGAUAGGCCAAAAAAGCAAUUUUUAAAAAUCCGAGAGAACCAACUGGAAGCCAUAUGCCUAGAGCAAUUAUUGAUGUGUGCGCAUAUACCUCUUUACCGACCAACAAUAAGGGCAGAUGCCAAAUCUUUACAUCCCAAAAUUUUUUGGUGUAAACUUUAUAUUUAAAUAGGUGUUUAGAUGCUUUCCAAAUUUUUUGGUCAACAAGAUACAUGACACGGGUCCCUAAUCAAGUUUACACAGUUUUGAGGCUCCAUGGUCCCAAUUUCUAAAUCUUUAAAUCCAAGUUUUACAAGCCCCUGUUUAGAUCGAUUCUUCCAAAAAGUGCUCAUUUCUCCAAAAGUUUUGGUUGUUUGCUGAGAGGGCAAUCCCCUAGCGUUUGUGUGAGGCAUUUACCAUUACAUCGUCUAGACUAGUAUAAUUAUUCUCUUUAAUACGCCAGAAAUCCUUGGCCUCUCAGGGCAUCGGCUAUUGUUCAGUACUGUUCAUUUUGCUAUUUUUAUUUUUAUUCUUUUUAUGUUUCACUCCUUUAUGCGUAUUUUUUCUCCUCUAUUUUUUCUGCUUUUUUCUCCUUUUUCAUGGUUUUUUCCUCAAAAAACCGGCACAACGUAGCCCAUAAUGCUAGUAUAUACGCACACGGACACACGGUGGUUGUGCCUUCUUUUGUGUUUAUUCUUCCAGCAUAACGUUGACCUAGCUUUCCACUCUUAUAACAGCAAAAAGAGAUGUUGGUGUCAAAGUCUGCAAGUUGUCUUUGGUUAUUUGAUCUGAUGACUAUUGCCGGUGGAUCCAACAGUUAUAUUGCUAGCUUAACCCUUUUUAUAUGUUUACAAUCUUUGUCAACCAUUUGAACCGAUGACGACUAUUGCCGGUGGAUCCAAGUCGAUACAUUAAUUAGGGAGUAUGGAUAACCAAUAGACUGCAACAUUAAGAAUAAGGAACUAUACAUAUCCCUAUCCCCUGCUUGUGAGUGAAAGUUACGAUUUUAUUUUAUUGAUAAUGUGUUAAGAGCAGGUAGAAUGAUAUGCACAAAGGAGCACGAUGGUGAUGCAAAGGCUAAUAAUGUGUUAAGAGCAGGUAGAAUGAUGCACAAAGCAGCUCGAUCAUCGAUCUUGCUAAACGAAAAAAAAAAGAUAAUCCUGCUCGGCGCACCGGCACAGCUUGCACAUGGCCGCCGCCUGGCGCUCAGCCCCUCGGCAACUGGCGACUGCAAACUCAAAUAAAAUAUUUGAAUGCCGUGAAAGUAAAAGCUUCUAAAAAUGAGACGUUGGACUGGGGUUGGAGGGAGUUGAUACUUUUUUUUUAGGAAACAAGAGAGACUCAGGAGUCUACUGAAAAAUUUAUUAAAAAAGGUAACCAAUGAGAUUAUAGAAAGGCAACGAAGAACAAGAAGAAGGGGCU